rnacentral:rRNA from 1 species
GAUGAACGCUAGCGGGAGGCCUAACACAUGCAAGCCGAGCGGUAUGGGUAGCUUGCCACCCAGAGAGCGGCGUACGGGUGCGUAACACGUGUGCAACCUGCCCCUAUCCGGGGGAUAGCCCUCCGAAAGGAGGAUUAAUACCCCAUAAUAUAUCUGGUGGCAUCACUAGAUAUUGAAAACCCCGGUGGAUAGGGAUGGGCACGCGCAAGAUUAGAUAGUUGGCGGGGUAACGGCCCACCAAGUCGAUGAUCUUUAGGGGUCCUGAGAGGGAGAUCCCCCACACUGGUACUGAGACACGGACCAGACUCCUACGGGAGGCAGCAGUGAGGAAUAUUGGACAAUGGGUGGAAGCCUGAUCCAGCCAUCCCGCGUGAGGGACGACGGCCCUAUGGGCGGUAAACCUCUUUUGUACGGGGAUAAACCUAUCUACGUGUAGAUAGCUGAAGGUACCGUACGAAUAAGCACCGGCUAACUCCGUG